UCUCGAUUGGUCUAGUGGUGAGGAUACCUGCUUGUCAUUAAAACAACAUUCACGAUAGUGAGGGUGUUGCAGUACGCAGGUGGCCGGGGUUCGAUUCCCCGAUUGAGAG
rnacentral:tRNA from 1 species